rnacentral:rRNA from 1 species
UAAUUAAGCGGAGGAAAAGAAACUAACAAGGAUUCCCUCAGUAAGGGCGACUGAAGGGGGAAGAGCUCAACAUGUGAAUCUGCGCCUUGGCGCCGAAUUGUGGUCUGUCGACUCUGGUAUUAUUGGCCCGGCUAAGUCCCUUGGAACAGGGCAGCAUAGAGGGUGAGACUCCCGUCCGCCUGGCCUUUGGAACCAGAUGUCUCCGAGUCGAGUUGUUUGGGAUUGCAGCUCAAAGCGGGUGGUAAAUUCCAUCUAAAGCUAAAUAUUGGUGGGAGACCGAUAGCGUACAAGUACCGUGAGGGAAAGAUGCAAAGAACUUUGAAAAGAGAGUUAAAGAGUACCUGAAAUUGCUGAAAGGGAAGCGAAGGAAAUCAGUGCUUGCUGAGUCAUAUUUCUCACUCUGCUUGCAGAGUGGGCGCUGUGUCUUGGCGUGUGUCAGGCUUGGUUGGGCUUGUUGGAAUCGCGCUGUGAGAGUUGAUCAUGGCAUGUCUGCAAUGAGCUUGACUGAGGUUGACAAAAUGGUUUUCUUUACCCCG